GACGAACGCUGGCGGCGUGCCUAAUACAUGCAAGUUGAGCGCUGAAGGUUGGUACUUGUACCGACUGGAUGAGCAGCGAACGGGUGAGUAACGCGUGGGGAAUCUGCCUUUGAGCGGGGGACAACAUUUGGAAACGAAUGCUAAUACCGCAUAAAAACUUUAAACACAAGUUUUAAGUUUGAAAGAUGCAAUUGCAUCACUCAAAGAUGAUCCCGCGUUGUAUUAGCUAGUUGGUGAGGUAAAGGCUCACCAAGGCGAUGAUACAUAGCCGACCUGAGAGGGUGAUCGGCCACAUUGGGACUGAGACACGGCCCAAACUCCUACGGGAGGCAGCAGUAGGGAAUCUUCGGCAAUGGACGAAAGUCUGACCGAGCAACGCCGCGUGAGUGAAGAAGGGUGUCGGAUCGUAAAACUCUGUUGGUAGAGAAGAACGUUGGUGAGAGUGGAAAGCUCAUCAAGUGACGGUAACUACACAGAAAGGGACGGCUAACUACGUG
rnacentral:rRNA from 1 species